UCCCUAGUGGCUUAGCUGGUAAAGAAUCCGCCUGCAAUGAGGGAGACCUGGGUUUGACCCCUGGUUUGGGAA
rfam:TPA: Bos taurus chromosome 24, whole genome shotgun sequence.